CCUACGGGUGGCAGCAGUGAGGAAUAUUGGUCAAUGGACGAGAGUCUGAACCAGCCAAGUAGCGUGAAGGAUGACUGCCCUAUGGGUUGUAAACUUCUUUUAUAUGGGAAUAAAAUGUUCCACGUGUGGGAUUUUGUAUGUACCAUAUGAAUAAGGAUCGGCUAACUCCGUGCCAGCAGCCGCGGUAAUACGGAGGAUCCGAGCGUUAUCCGGAUUUAUUGGGUUUAAAGGGAGCGUAGGUGGAUUGUUAAGUCAGUUGUGAAAGUUUACGGCUCAACCGUAAAAUUGCAGUUGAAACUGGCAGUCUUGAGUACAGUAGAGGAGGGCGGAAUUCGUGGUGUAGCGGUGAAAUGCUUAGAUAUCACGAAGAACUCCGAUUGCGAAGGCAGUUCACUGGACUGCAACUGACACUGAGGCUCGAAAGUGUGGGUAUCAAACAGGAUUAGAUACCCUUGUAGUC
rnacentral:rRNA from 1 species